UUAAUUGAUUAAUUUACAUUGACCUAUAUAUUUAACUUGUUGGCUUGCCAACUACGACGAUAAACGAAUUUCGUAAUAACCAUUACGGACGUGGGGGCAGUACCCACCACCUCCACCAUUUACAACUUACGGGGGUGAAAUAGGAUCGACGGGUGACUAAAGGCUAUUCUUUCGUUCGGGAUUGUUCCACCGUAACGGGCUAAACUUUAAAUGCUAACGAAAGUUACGCUAUUGCUGCAUAAUUAACUUAGGUUAAUUAUAGAAGCACGGUCUGGGGCACCGGGUAACAGAACGCCCCUUACA
rnacentral:tmRNA from 1 species